GAUGAACGCUGGCGGCGUGCCUAAUACAUGCGAGUCGAGCGAACAGACGAGGAGCUUGCUCCUCUGACGUUAGCGGCGGACGGGUGAGUAACACGUGGAUAACCUACCUAUAAGACUGGGAUAACUUCGGGAAACCGGAGCUAAUACCGGAUAACAUGUUGAACCGCACGGUUCAACAGUGAAAGACGGUUUUGCUGUCACUUAUAGAUGGAUCCGCGUCGCAUUAGCUAGUUGGUAAGGUAACGGCUUACCAAGGCAACGAUGCGUAGCCGACCUGAGAGGGUGAUCGGCCACACUGGAACUGAGACACGGUCCAGACUCCUACGGGAGGCAGCAGUAGGGAAUCUUCCGCAAUGGGCGAAAGCCUGACGGAGCAACGCCGCGUGAGUGAAGAAGGUCUUCGGAUCGUAAAACUCUGUUAUUAGGGAAGAACAAAUGUGUAAGUAACUAUGCACGUCUUGACGGUACCUAAUCAGAAAGCCACGGCUAACUACGUG
rnacentral:rRNA from 1 species